AAUAGUACCCGGGUAGUCCACGCCGUAAACGUUGGGCGCUAGAUGUGGGGACCAUUCCACGGUUUCCGUGUCGCAGCUAACGCAUUAAGCGCCCCGCCUGGGGAGUACGGCCGCAAGGCUAAAACUCAAAGGAAUUGACGGGGGCCCGCACAAGCGGCGGAGCAUGCGGAUUAAUUCGAUGCAACGCGAAGAACCUUACCAAGGCUUGACAUAUACGAGAACGCUCUAGAAAUAGAGAACUCUUUGGACACUCGUAUACAGGUGGUGCAUGGUUGUCGUCAGCUCGUGUCGUGAGAUGUUGGGUUAAGUCCCGCAACGAGCGCAACCCUCGUUCUAUGUUGCCAGCGGUUCGGCCGGGAACUCAUAGGAGACUGCCGGGGUCAACUCGGAGGAAGGUGGGGAUGACGUCAAAUCAUCAUGCCCCUUAUGUCUUGGGCUUCACGCAUGCUACAAUGGCCGGUACAAAGGGCUGCAAUACCGCAAGGUGGAGCGAAUCCCAAAAAGCCGGUCUCGAGUUCGGAUUGAGGUCUGCAACUCGACCU
rnacentral:rRNA from 1 species